rnacentral:rRNA from 1 species
UACGGGGGGAGCAAGCGUUGUUCGGAUUUACUGGGCGUAAAGGGCGCGUAGGCGGUCAGCACAAGUCAGUUGUGAAAUCUCCGGGCUUAACCCGGAAAGGUCAACUGAUACUGUGCGACUAGAGUGCGGAAGGGGCAACUGGAAUUCUCGGUGUAGCGGUGAAAUGCGUAGAUAUCGAGAGGAACACCUGCGGCGAAGGCAGCCCCUGGGUCAAGAUUGACGCUCAUGCACGAAAGCGUGGGGAGCAAACAGG